AGUAAUUAAUCUAAAAGAAGAUACGUGAUCAGAGGAGAAAUGGUGGUCAAAAAUCUAGAGAGAAGUUGGAAGGGUGUAGAGAGAAGGAGGAGAAAAAUGGUGUUUCUAGAAAAUGAGUUGAGGAAGAAGAAAGGCUGGAAUGCAGAAAGUGGUGCCAAAUUCAAAAUCUCACUUUAAAUAUGGCCACCAAUUUUGACGCUCGGUCCACUCUAUGCCUGCCACAUGGCUUCCACUAUCUGGAAAACCACAUUCCCUCUACUGCCACACGUUCACUGAGGGCGGGGAUUUAAAUGCACUGCCAAACUUAUCUCCCACUUACAUGGGGAAGCUGGAAGGGUGCGACAAGUGUACUCCACUAAAGUGGGGUAUUUAAUGGGGUGUGACAAAUAGGGCCUCUCAAAUGAUUAAACCUUGAAAAAUAUAAGUAAUAAUAUUAGAAUUUAAAUCAUAAAUACAUAUAAACUAAUUUUCCAAUUAUUAAUGGUUUUUAUAUAACUACAUGUCAAUACCCAAUUUCGUCCGGGUAAUUAAAUAAAUAAAAAAAAAAUGAAAUCAUUUCUAUCUUAAUUUUCUUUUCUUUUACUUUUGUAUUUAUAUCUUUACUUUUAUUCAUUUUUAUUUAGGUUAUUUCUGUUUUUUAUCUUUUUUUUUUUU
rnacentral:lncRNA from 1 species